rnacentral:lncRNA from 1 species
GUUCUAGACUGCAUGUCUAGCACAUUCACGCGCCGGACUUCCACCGGUCCGGUCUGGCGGCCCCUCGAUUCUAACUCGAGCCUUUGAUGGGGCGCUCUGUCGCUGUGGCUGCUGGGUAAAGCGUAGACAGGGGGGCUUACGUCCCUUCCUUGGGGUGUGUGAGGAGUUGGUGGACUUCAGACCCCUAUGCCGUGUGGGGGGUCGGACUGGGUGGAGAGACUUGACCACAACAAUGCGUGCGUACCUGGUAGCCUUGCACGCCAAAGUUGCCGGCACGGUUGCUUGCAAUUGUCGCUGUCACCCUGUUGCACUUGGUGGCUGCAGAGCAGCAACGGUUUGAGGGCGCGGCGCGUAGAGUCUGCCACAUAGCGAAUCAGCGUUCUGGGAAGGAACCGACUUGCGCGAGCUUGCAACUUGUGUGUCACGAUGAGAAAAUUCUGCAUUGGCGUAAAUACAGAGCCCUCAUGACCGGUCUACACCAGACGACCAUCAUCUGGGGCCUGCAUGGGCGUCCACCCCCGCAUAUGUAUUUCUGGUCGCUUUCGCUUGGAUGUGUAGCUAGGACGCAUAAGUGCAAGAUAACCACCCCGCAAAAGGGGGCGCGAGCGUGUUGACCGAAAAUCAAGUUGGCCGGCGACGGCAGGGCGUACAUGACCCCUUCAUUUGUUCAGAUACGUUCAAUAGAAUCUAUUGUUUCCUGAGGGCGCUGACCCUUGGCCGGCUGCGUGGAGAAGCAACACCUUUGAUUUCUUUGCGCAUACUGGGCGCACAAACCAUACUGAAAGCAGCAUUCUGCUCUGGGCUUAUCUUCCUGUGAUAUAUGCUGCUAGCGGCCAACUCGUUGGCCAGUGCGUGCUUCAAUAGCCUGGUCGUGGAGGCAUGGCCACCCCCGUUCGGCGACCCGCAUUCCAAGCGCUACCUGUGGCGCCCGGUGCGCGUUUGCACGCCGCGUAUGCCCUGGCAGCUCAAAUAGUCCGCUGUGGGCGGCGGUUGGGACCGGCGCGGAAGGGGCUCAAGUGGAAGGGUUAUGGUGACAGAUGCGAGGGGUGAGGCUGCUGUACGCCGGCUGGCAUACGCCGCGUCCUGCGCCGCACGCGCCUGCGCUCCUGCCUAUGGGUGACCUAUAUCAGGGUCUGACAAUAGAGUGCCUAUGGUCUGGGGCGCAUGCGGAGCAGGCGUGGCGGGGUAGGCAUCGGCGACGGGGGCGGGGGGCCGAGGGGUAAGGGGCAUAGGCGGCACGAAGGGCGGUCGUCGUACGCCCAGGUAUAGAUAGUUAAAUAGUUAUAAUAACAGUUAUAAGGAGAUCAUCUUAUUGCCGUGGCGUGAAGCUGGAUGGAGCAGGCGGGGAGCAGGAAGGGUCGUCUUGGAUGCCUCGGUGCGAAGUAAACUGAGGCGGGGAGGUUGGAGGGGAGGCGGGACAGGCAAAGCCCCUGGCUACCGCACGCGGCACGCCGGCAGCAAAGUCCCAUCGCCAAUGAACUUCAACGGGCAUAUGUAUACAGCUUCGGUAGGAGGUCGUGGACGCCUGAGGAAAACCUUGCCAAAUAGCAAAACGCCAUGGGCUUCUUCCAAAUCCAGCUGAGCUCUGCAAAUGUGGUGCAGGGGACUGGCGGGAUGGCAUGCACUUCAUUGACCUGCCAGAGUGGCUUGCGGGGGACACCUCCGACUGGUAGAUAGCCAUCGAGUCAUUCAUUGUCAGCGUGAAUACUGUGCCCGCAAACGCGCCGUACUUUAUUGAGAGCAACACCCUCACCCAGGGCAACUCCUACUCAUCACUUACUAACAGCGCGGGGUACCAGCUGAUGCCCAUGGUUGGCUCAGUUUUCACACGCAUCAUUCCCAGCAACCUGCUGGGCACCCGGGUCGGAAACGCCUCCAUCUUGCGCGGCAAGCUGCACAACUUCAGGUUGGUGGGAAUGGACGGCAACCUGAUUCCCGCGGACGCAUUUGGCGCUGGUGUCACGCCCGUUUGGAUGAUGACCCUGGUGGCCUACUCCGACUCCGCAGCAGGGCAGCCUGGCAGCGGCGGCGGUCGCGGCGGGCCUGGCGGCGGCGCAGGGGCGCGUGCGGCAGGCCGUCUCACGCAUUGACGCAGGGCUCGGGCUGGGUGCUGGCGGUUCGGGUGAGGUGGGCAAGCAGGGCGUUGAGCCGCGCGUGGGGUCUGUGCCGCCCGCGGGCGGCGCUGGCAGCAACGCUGAGCCAAUGAGCAUGUCGCAGUAGUGUGCUGCUAGUUCUCUGUAACGGAAUGCUGCCGCCGAGUUUCCGCCGAGUUCCCCUGCGCCCCGCCCGCGCGUGCCCACCUGCGACUCUCAUGCACUCCAGCAAGUCCCGCCCGCGCUGCAGCCCAACUGUCGACCGUGUGGAACCGUGUGCGCCCAGAGGCAGCUGAUGGAAACCGGGUCAGCCCCAUGCGUCUCUCUGAGUUUACACGUAGCUCACACACGCAGCUUCCCAAACGGCCUCGCGCACGACUAUGCACUCCCACUCACGCGCCGCGCCAACCGCCACACCCGCCGUGCUCCACCGUGCUCAGACGCAGCUUCCCACACGCAUGCGAGCUCAACUGCCAGCUCCCAUUCGCACGCCUGCCGACUAGCGCCAACUGCCCGUGUGCGUCACUACAGUCGGGUAGCUUCCAAGCCGGGCUGCCGUACAACUACCUACUCACACUCGCGCAGCUGCCGACUGCCACGCUACCUCCUGUACGGCUGAGGGGGGUUGGGGUGCCGUACACUAGUUAGUUGGGGGGUAGUCGGAGCUGUUCUAGAACAUACAUUAUACUAUUCUUUAUGUAGGCGUUACCCCCAGCAUGGUAAGUCCUGGCAGGGGAAACCCUUGCCGACAGGUACGGAUGCUUGCCUCGCCCCGCCGCCACUCCACGCACCCGAAAUCCGACAUCAGCGGGGUCACGCUCGCUUUGUUGCUGCAUCAUCACUCUCCGUCCCACGGAGACCACGCGCAGUCGAUAUCAGUCAAGAAUGUGCCUAACUUUGCGCCACGUAUAGCACAAGGACCGGCCGGGCUGUCUGCAACGCGCGGCGCCCAGGCGACACCCGUGCCACAUAGCCGCCCGUGCCUGUCGUGCUGUGCUCAAUGAGUGUGCGCCGGGCACCACACUUCCUGCGUUUCCUCCUGCAUGGCGGUUGCACGCGACAUAACAGCAAUCGAAUGGUCAAUCAUUUGCUAGUGAACAACAGUCGCAAAGACCCCGUGCCGACUGCCCUGUGCAGUCACACGCUGCCAAACCCCACCACCCACAUUGAAUGCGCAGCCGGCUUUGACGGCGCAUGUCAGGUGGUACACUGACGGACAGCCCUCCUGUAAGCGCGCACAUGUGCAGCGUUGCGCAUUACAGUCAGGAAACCGGCUCAUCCAUAUGUGCCGUUGCACACUUGCACGACAACAACAAGGGUACGUACAACCUUCAGAACCGCAAACGGCCCCCCCAAACAUGCACACGCACCUGGAAGCAGCCCACCGUGGCUCCGCGGUUUUUGCACACGUGGCAGCGCAGCUGCCGCCCCCGCCGAACCGCCGGGCCCAUGUGGUGCUGCGCGCCGGUGGACACGCGGGCGACAUGGGAGUUACAUGCCUCGAAUGUUGUUGGGCUGCCCGCGCCACCGACACAGCACUGUACGUUCCAGGAAUGUGCUUUUAACCAGAAACCUAUGAAGUCGCCUUGAAAUUCCCUUACACGCGUGUUGGUCCGCCAUGGUUUCUGCAAGAUGUUGGCAAUCCCGCGCGCCCCUCCUGGCCCCCACCCACCCACGCCCUGUCCCCCAUGACACCUGGAGCCAUCCCAUUUGGCUAGGGCACAACACCCCACCCACCCAGGCGCCCCCCCCCCCACACACAUAUACACACUCAUACACAACGUAUUUCCCUGCCUGUGCCCCCUCACCAAGUAUCCCGGGUGGAAGGGGUCCUCCACCACCUCCGGGCACCACACCGCGCACUGCAUGUGUACGCGCGCCGUCCAGUUGGACGUGAUGCGCACCUUCACGUACUUGCCCACCUUGUCGGCGCUCAUGCCUGACAACAAGGGCGGAGGAAAUAAGCAAGGGCGCUUAGAAGGGUGCACACAAGCGGAGAAAAAAGCAACCGCUACCUUCCAAGCUGCGCCAAAGCCGUGCGCGCAGCCGCUGCUGCAAUGACAGCCCCGGCCCACGCUCACCCCUGACGGGCGUGCACUCGAGUUUCGUGUUGCAGAGGCCACACAAGCUGGUGCCGUUCUCCCCGUGCGCCACCAUCGCCGUGAUGCUCUCUAGCUCCUCCGGCGUUAUCUGCGCCGCCAGGCAUUGAAGGUCCGUUAUCAGGAUCGGAGGGGCCACCAAGCAAGCAGAUACGUGCACACACGUGCACCACAUUGCAGCCAGCUAGCACCGCACGCGUGAUGUCCCAGACACCAUUGAUGGCUAGGAAAAGCCCAAACGGCAGCCGUUUAACUGCGCCAUCCCCUCCCCAAUCCACACGCAAAUGACUGUCUUCCAUUCCCAACAACCGCCUUCCGUGACUUACAGGCACGGGCACACCCACGCUGUGCGGCAGCUCCUUCCGCUCCAUCACGCCUCGGUAGCGCCGCCCAUCCCGCUCCACCACCACCUCCACUUUAUUGGCAUCCAACGGCCGCACGUCCAGCACCCUCGGGGGCUCUUCACUGGUCCCCGGGUCGCUUCCCUCAUCCGAGGAGGCCGAAGAGGCAGGGCCCGUGCUUCCCCGCUUGUGCUGCUGCCCUUGGCCCUGCCCCUGCUUCUGCCCCAGCUGCUGCAAGGCUACCAGCUGCUGUGCUGUGGGGUCCUCGUCGGCAAUCAAAGUGCCGUCUUUAACCUGGUCAGGAUCCACAAACUCGGCGCGCCAGGAUGGCUCCUUGCGCUGCCGCUUGGCGUGUGGCUCGAUCGAUGCCAUGAGAGCAAUUCGUCCACUCCCGUUGGGCUAUGUUGUUUACUCCUCUCUACUCCUCAGCGGCGAUCGCUCCUUGGCCAGAUCCUGUGCCUGAAGGGAGAGGGCGAGGAGCUCAGAGUGACACAGGUGGGCGGAGACAUACGGCACGGAAGCCGGCCAGCAGGGCGGAGCCUUCUUUGCCCACGCAGCCUCAUGACCCUCAUCAGGAUUAUGGACCUGGUAACAUCGUAUAAUGAAUUGAUGUUGUACUCGGCAGCAGUGCCUAACCGUGCCAUCCUUGGAUUCGAGAAGGCAUGGUGGGUCCGCCACGCAUCCGGCGUCAUGGGUGAUACUUAUGGUGCUGGAGUGACGAUGUCUGAUAAGAUGAUCCUUACCUGGUAUUUGUCAAGCCAAUCCUUCUCUGUGCCGGACCGCCAGUUUACUGCUAGCCGGGGACCGCUGGUUGAGUGACGCGCUCGCGGCUUGAGCUCUUCCACUAUGCCAGAUCAGACAGAACAAAAGCUGUCGUUUGCUGCGGCCUGUGACAAAGAAAGGAGAGUGCGGCCGCACGUAGCUGCCUUGACACUGCUGGUCAAGACACAAGCUCAACGGCUGCAUACAUGCCCCCGCAGCACGCUACUGACUUGAUGUUAGGUUUACAAAUUUCUUAAAAGCGUUGGAACAAGGCAAGCACAUGCCCGCAGGGUGCAGCGUGCCCCGGAGAGACCGAGCUGCGUUCGGGCGCCCCAAAGCAAGUUCCGACCACAACAGCUGACCGUCACAUACCUGGUAAUAUUUGUCUUUGACUUUGUUUCUCUGCUCGAGGUGCCAAGUUCCCUCGCUUUGCUGACGCGCGAGUUUACCCGUUGCAGAGAAAGUCACAGGGGAGCACAAAUGCGUGCGAUCAAUUGCGACGGCGAUGAUGAAUAAUAAAUUUAUGAUAAAGUCCAAGAGUUGGGUAGUGUAAGGGUAAGAGGCGCGGCGACAACUGCAUGAAGAUGGCAUAUCGUUCUGAAGCUCUGCGACCCUUUUGUAACUUACUAACGGUGAUUCAUCAUAUUUACGGUUUGAUGUUUGUUUAUAGGCGUGUGAGCUAGCUUGGAAUGGCUGUCUUCGCUCGGCGCCGGUUUUUAGCGUCGCGGCAAGCUGCACGGUUUUGUUUGCACGCAUCGGCGUGCAGGCCAGCUCCUGCUCCCUCGUGAUGUAUUUUUACAGGAAGCCCCCCAGGAACACCCCUGUCCAUAGCAUACCUCUGCGCUACCUCUUCGCCAGUGGGGCGGCAGGGCAGGCGGCGGGGCAGGCGGAGGCGGCGGGGCAGGCAGAGGCGGGGCCCCGGGGCGCGGUGCACGUGCUGUGGCACUACCACUUCUCCGCCUUCCGCCGAAAGCGCUGGGCUGCGUUCAUCCAGCGCGACCGCGCGCUCCACCGCGUCGCCAAGCAGCUCACGGGCGGCAGGCCCAAGGAGGAGGUGGUGGUGGGGUGGGGUUCGUGGGCCUUCCAGGGAGGGAAGGGCGGCUCCCCCAUCUCCGUCAGGGGCGGGCGCGCGCCGACGGGGCGGCUCAUCAAGCUGCUCCGUGAGCGCUACGCCAAGCAUGUGUUCAUCAUCGAUGAAUACAAGACCUCCAAGGUGGGUGGGUUGAGUGGGAUUGCAAUUGCUGGUGGGUGGGUUUAUGCAUGGUGGGUGGGUGGGUGGGUUGAGUGGGAUUGCAAUUGCUGGUGGGUGGGUUGAAUGGGAUUGCAAGGUGGGUGGGUUGAGUGGGAUUGCAAGGUGGGUGGGUUGAGUGGGAUUGCAAUUGCUGGUGGGUGGGUGGGCCGCUGGGUUUAUGCCUGGCUUUAGCGGAAGCCCGUGUGUGGCCCCUCUCCCUCCCACCCUCCCGACCAUGCAGACCUGCUACAACUGCGGGUGUCAGGAGAUGGCCAUCAAGCGGCUUGGGGGGCUGAAGGAGGGGCAGCGGCCCUGGUCGGUCAAACUCUGCAACGACUGAUGCUUGACGACCUGGGUGAGGACCGCGUGCAUGUGCGGGGACGGCUGGGCACUGGGGACGGAUUGAUUGACAGGUUGACGGUUGAGACAGCUCAUGUGCGCUCUCUUCUUCCUCCCCGUUCCCCAUCCCCAGAACCGCGACGUCUCCGCCGCCAACGUGAUCCGUGUGCUCCUCCUGCUGAAGCUGAUGUAUGGGCUUCGAGCGGCCGACCAAGCUGCAGCGGCCGCCAUGGCCGCCGCCGGCGGCGGGGCCAGGCUGAGAGCCUGAACGGCGCUAGCAGGGCGUGGGGCUGAGGGUGCACGUGUCGAUUGGCGGCGAGUGACGUGACUAGUUUGUUAGCUGCGGGUUAGCACGGACUGUGCACCCCACCCAACCGGCCACGUCCGGAUUUGCGGGGAUGCCAAAGGCCCCCAACAUAGAGGCGUGUGCUUAGUAGGCGCCCGCGUCAAGGUGGCUGGGUUGAUAACGACCCGGGAUCAGCCCUUUUCCUGCCUCCCUAAGGCAGCCACCUCCUUGUUACAGGAAUUGUCAGUAAUUGAUAUCCACCUUGAGCUCUCGUGUACGUCGCACUUUACCCCGGGUAUGGCCAGGCUGUGCAAGGGGCAAGAAAGCUCAGAAUCCCACCCCAUGCUCGAAAUUGUACGCCGGCGUUCGACCAGCCAUGCACUUCUGCUCUGCCACUGCAAACUGUUUGCCGUCUGCUUAAGGGUCUGGGCAUCAGCUGCACCCUACGGGACCUCGCCAACCUGCCUUGAACCCUGUCCCACCACACACCCAUGCUCGAAAUUGUAGAUCUUCAGGAGAGCAUUACGCGUGUACUUGUAUUUUUGUCAGGGGUGGUCUGGCGAGGAAGUUCUGGGCCGCCAAAGUCGUGGUCCCUGGGGGUCCGGCGGGUUUUGGGAGCCCAUCCUGGCGGAUUUCGGGAAGCGCCCCACAAGCAGAACGUAGCGGAUGGGGCAGGCCAGGCGACACACAUCGAAGAGAGAGCGGCGCCGCCCGAGAAGCGGCGCCGGCGCGCAGGCCUGCCGGUAUCUGGUUUGCGGUCUUGGCUGCUGGCGAGCAUAGCAUGGCACGGCGGUAUGCGGCAAGCAUGAAUACUGUGCUUGUGCUUGACAGCGGUACGCGGCUGGACACAUGGCGGGCGGUGCCUGUUCCAACCGACCCCGGCUACCGUAUGUCCGCAGACAUGCACGAACAUGCAUAAACGUGGCGUGCGCGCAGCCCAUGUUUCCCUUGAGAGGGAGCGCCACUCUUCUUAUCUAGUUGCCCGAAAUUUGAGACGGUGAUAGAUAGAUUGACAGUAGCGACGCCUGCCUGUGCGGCGAACUAACGCUUGACCGCUUGUGCAUCUUUUGUUUCGAUACGUGGUCCCCUGCCCAAUGCGGAGGUGGGUUGCAUACCUGCUUGUUCCCUGGGCACGUACAUCCAUGUUAUGAUUGGGGUCUGGCCAACCGCUACGCGCUGCCCAAAACCACAACCACACCCCGCUAACGUACCUGCCCCCGCCCGGCCGGCAGCCGCCGCCCCGUGCGGCUGCCGGUUUCAUGACGGGUGUGGGGAACCGCAAUGCGGUCCGCACCCGUCACCUGCCUGCUGUUUGCCCCCUUGCCUCUUUGUCUGCGUCUGCUUGAGUCCCUUGCCGCCCCUUCGGAGGUUUCGUUUACGUUUACUGCUUGUGGCUUCCUGGUGUCGCAUGGCAUAUACACCGCACGCGCCCAUGCCGACCGCAGUGCGACCGGGAUGAGCCAUGCAGCGAUCGCGCUGUCGUUACUUCCUCGGCCGCCCGGCGCACAUGCUCAUUUCACCGCAUACAUCACUUCUCCAUACUUAGUGUUCUUCGUUUAGCCACCCCACGCAGCGCACAGCCACAGCCCGCCGCCCGGCUCGCGCACCAUGUCCUCGCGGUUGUUUUGGGGUCGACGUUGCUUGCCUCGCGCCUAGCACCAUAGCUUCUACGCUGCAGUGCAUCACGCCUCCUGUCCCUCCCUCCCUCCCAUACAUGUCGUGCUGGGCACCGGUGGCGCUGGUGUUCUCUAGGUUGGUUUCGGGCGCAUCCUUUCUGGUAGUCCCAAGCAACGUCAGCCCGGCCGCCGUCGUCCAGCCCAGCCAUCCCGAUACCGCAGCCGCCUUCCGUAAACCAGCCAUGGGAGCGACCGUCCACAGCGUUUACCGUCGGUUACGAGGUAACAUGUGAAUUCGCAACUUGCGCUACUGACUGCCUACUCUCGUGCCGCCUGCAAGCCCACUCCGCCUUCCGCUCUGGUCUGCGUACGCAUUAGUUCCGCAACACUCGUCAUACCAUGCCAGCGGCGCCGCCGGCAGCAGCAUGAGCUCCUGCUCCCAAUCUAAUCGUCCACAACGGCAAUUCUAGACCUGCGCCAGCCGUGACGCCGACAGCAGCCUUCCCAGCAAAGCGCGCAGCACCUGCAGCCCUGUGGCGUUCGACAGCCGGUGGUCCCCGCCCUCCACCACAUGAAGCUCACAACCCGCUGCUUCGGGCGCUGCCGCCGCCGCCGCCUCUAUCACCACUGCAGCACCUAAACCUUCCGUGCAUCGAUUCCCCUCCUCCCACACGCCGUGGUUUACAUCCACAACCUCUCCCAGCCCGCAGUGGUGGUAGGCCUCUGUUCCGCCGCCCAGCUGCGGUGGCGGCAGCUGCGCUGUCGCCCCACCUGCGACGACCGCGGCAGCGGUUGCGGUAGCGGCAGCGGCUGAUGCGUUGUUGAUGCCAUCAACCAGGGUGCGGACGAGUGGCAGCGGCACCACCGCAUCGUUCGAGCCAGCCACGAUAAGCACCGGCAAGGGCACCGGCACCCGCAACUCUAGCGGCCGCCGCCACACAAUGCUGCCAGCAGCAGUACCUGGCCACAGCACACCUGGCCCUCCCAGUUGCUCCGGCCCCUGCCCCGAGGGGCCCAGCUGCCCUUCACGCCGGCCGGCCUCGCCCCAGGGCCGUACAAGCAGCAAGUGCUCACGGCCUUGUGUGAAGUAGGCGGGGCCCACCCAGUCACCGCCCUGCAUGGGGUACGGAGAGCCCAGCGACACACGCCCGCCGGCCCCGCCGUCGCCGUCGCCGCUACCGCGUGCACCUUCACUCCCUGCGGCAGCCUUGCUGCUAGCGGCUGCGGCAGUGACGCUGUCGCGCUGCUGCUGCGUCAGCGCCGCCCAACGCACCUCCGACAGAUCCACUGCCGGCGCCACCAGCAGCGCGCCUGUGAUCUGGGGGCCGCGGCUGCUGCUACUGCUGCCGCUGCUACUGCUGGUGCUGCUGGUGCUGCUGCUACUGCCGCGGCCUUGGCAGGUGGCGGCGGUGGCAAGGGUGCCUUGUGCGCGCGUUGCCGAGCGCUGCGCCACACGAAGCGCCACCCAACCCCCGAUGGAUGAUCCUGUCCGUGUGCGAGCAGCGUUGAAGUAGUUGAAGGUGGUGGGAGGGAGGAGGGGGUGAGUGAAAGUGUGUGGCUGUGUGACACCCGGCAGACAGAGCCAGGCCGCAGUGGUUAGGAAGCGUCCCAUUCCAUUCCUUCCUAGGAGCACGUACCCGUGCGUGCGCAAGGCCGCCAAAGACAUGUCCUCACACACGCACGCGCACGCAGCAAGCUCAACUCACCCAGCAGAACCACACGCGGUGCCGCCACCACCUCGCGCAGCAGUGCCUCUGUGUCCUCAAUCCAGUCCGUCAGGCCACACGACUCCCACGCUCGCCCUGUGGAGGCGCCAAACCUGCACACACACACACACACACACACGCACUCUUCUUAUAACACUCGGCCGUCCCAUGUAAAGAUUGUCGGAAGGUGGUGACACCAGGUACGCAACACGCAUGUCGCUCAUACCGUACGCACAUUCCAGGAAGCCCGGCACGUUUCCGGACUCAGGACCCCAACAACCUCAGGUGCGCCGUGCUCAACCCCAUGCUUCCACGCCGCGGCCUUACUUACCCCGAGUAGUCGAAGCAGACGAACUCGCAGCCCUGUGCCGCCGCCUGCUGCAGCGCGCAACGCACCUUGGACCUGUGGACCAGCAGUGCCGCUACUAGCUUAGCCACUACGGAGCGUAGCGGAGUAGGGGCUGAGCGGGGUUUAGCAUGGAGGCCGUACUAGACGGCCGGAGCUGUUAGCGCUUGCCGCUCUCCUAGCUCGGCAUUCUGCCUCUCUAGCUCGCUGCGGUAUUUCUUUUGUCCAAGCCUUUGAGAGUAUUUCCUACUGCCCGCCCGCGAGCCCUUGCGGCUCGCCCCCGCCCCAGGUGUCCCGAGUGGAGCCGCGGCGCGUCAUGGCCGUCUGGUUGUGGCGGCGCCGUCGCCUGGCGCCGCCCUCGCCUGGUCGCUCUGCUGGAGCUCGGCGGUGGAGCCGGCGCUUUUGUCGGUGGUGGUGUGGUCGUAGGCGUUGUCGUGAGGCCGGCGUUGAGGGUGAUUGGGCGGGCCCGCGAGGGCCCUAGGCGCCCGCUGCCACGCCGUUAGAGGGUUUUCCGGUUUUUUUUGGUUCGCGCUCCAGGCUGCCCCGGUUUUUUUAGGGCUUCGCCACGGUUCCGGCUUUUAUACCGGGGCGUCAGCCUGGAGCGCGCGUUGUUGCCGGGACCCUGGCCGAGGCCACGGGUGUUAGCUGUUGGUGUGUUGGCUGGUCGCGCUUCGGUUGCGCGUGGUUCUGCUUUCGGCGCCGUUGUUCCGCGCCUUGGUGGCCACGUGGGUUGCUGUUUGCUGCCGCUGUCGUGCUGGUGGCCGCGCUGCGCUCGCGCGUGCCGGUCUCGCUCGUCUGUUUUGUGGUUGUGUCGCGGUGGCGUGGCGUUGUGUCGCCUUUGGGGGGGCCGCUCGGGCGUGCCCCCUCGCUCGCUUGCGCGGGUGUGAGCCGUUCUGCAGUGUAGGUGCCUUUAGUCAGGCUGCUCCCUACCGCCGCUCCGGCUCAGCUCAGCUCUUUAUUAUUACAGCGUAGGCCGUCUGGCCGACGGCUAAACAAGGUAGGGCCGCGUGGUGGCCGGGCGGCCAGACUAGCAGCAGCAGCACGUCGUGGGUGGGUGGGCGCGCACACACACAUGUACACACACAUGUACACACACACACACACACACACACACACACACACGCGCGCAUACGCAGUGUAACCGUGAUGAUGUCCUGUGCAGCGCCGCACCGUGCCCCCCGCCCCCCCCCCACACACACACACAUACCCGGCCAUCUCGCUCUUCAGGCCGUUGCAGAACAGCACGCACGUGUGAGGCCGCGGCUGCACCGCUGCACCCGCGGCACUCGCAACUCUGCCUCCCGGCCCAUGUGAAGAUCCUGCUACUUGCCCCUCCGUCGCCUGUGGCGCCUGCUCUUGCGGCACUGGCUGGCGCCAGUGCCUGUACGCGAUGCGCCACCCAUCCUCCGUGGCCGCUCCACCGCCUCCAUCUUUGCUGGCGCUGAAGCUACUAGCCUGCCGCAGCCCCGAUGCAGCAUGCCGUCGGUGCCGGGCCAGGAAGCGCAGUGGCAGGUCUUCCAGUUGCGGCGGCGUGCCCGCUGCAUGCGAUGCAGCCGCCGCUGCCGAGCCCGCAGCAGACGCAGCAGGCACAGCUGACAUGGCGGGAGCGGGCCUGUCCGGCUGGCGUUCUGCUGAGUUGCGAAUCGUGCUUGAAGCUGAAGGCCGACUUUGUCUGAGCUUGGCCCGCAGAGCAGCUGAGAGAUAGCGUCGGGUGCCGUAUAAGGCUCCGUGGGCAGGGUCAAGCCGGAGACGCGGGCCGAGGUGAUGGGCCAGCAUUCGCCCUCCAAGCGGUGCGUGGACCUGGUAGGGUUUGCAGCGUGCACGCCACCGUUUUCCUACAUCAUGUGAUUAUAUUCAUACGUAACACAUUAUCAUAGACGCAACACGCUCUAUGCCGAAAGCCUUACAGCAUUCGACCGAACAAACUUUACAACAAGCUCGUUCUAACUUGCAACAUAGAAUAUGUUGUGUGUUUGUGAUGUAGGUGAGCGAAAAAUCAAAUGAUCUUAAUUGCAUUGCGCGAACAGAAAGAGCGCUAAGGGGGCUUGUGCGCGGGGUGGCAUAGAACCCCCAACUGUCCGAAUCGUGGCGCUGCGCGCAUGCGGUUUCCAGCUCGCCCCGCCCAAGCGAGCACUUUAGCUAGCUAAUAUCACUUCGAUGGCAACCAAUACGCAAGCAGCCUGCGCGCAGCGCCGUUCCAAGGCCCGGCAGUGCUCCACCGCUUCGCUUCUCAUCAGCCUCGCCGCGGCCGCGGCUGCUGCAGCUGCUGCGAGCGGCCAGCUCGGCCAGCAGCAGCCGCAGCAGCCCGCCUGCAUGGGUUACAGCGGCGGCCCGGUGGACUGGUGGCUGCUGCUCAAGUACCCAAGCGGCACCGCGGCGGGCUUGCUGGAGGGGGAGCUGCUGCGCGGCGACAGCUUCCUGACGCCAACGCCAACGUCAGCGGCGGCGGCGGCAGCAGUGCAGCACGGCCGUGCUCACGUGAGCAGCGAGGGAGGGUGGCGGCUGGGAGUCGGCGUCAACGACCCCGCGGGGCCGCUGCGCGCCACCCUCGCGGCUGCGGGUGCGGCAGCAGCUGCGGCGCCGGCUGCGGCAUCCGUGGAUGCUGACCGCUUAAGUGGCCACUCCGGGGGCAUGAGUGGCGCCGGGGCCGGUAGUAGCAGUAGCAUUAGCAGCAGCAGUAGUAACGUGCGGGGAUACGUCAUGUACAACGACGCGGACCCAGAGGGUGUGGAGCACUGGGCGGGCGCCCACGCCAAGGGCGUCCUCGUGCUGGGUCCGGAGGGCGGCGCCUGGGUCACACACUCCUUCCCGCGCUACCCGGGCCGCCCGCCGCGCGCCGCCGCUGCCCACACGACAGCUGCUGCGCCGCCGCCUGGGUCGCGGUGCUGCGCCGCGUCUUGGGCACUGGGAUGGAUGGUUCGCGGAGCCAAGGCCGCUGCCGCGGGUUUGGGGCUGUCAGGGUGGGCCCAGGCAGCGCUGGAACGGGCCUUCGGCGGGGAAGGCGAUAGUGGUACCGGCGGUGCUGGCAGUGGCAGCAGUGGCGGCGGCGGUGCCGGCAGCGGAGGCACCGAGGGCGACUGGGAUGUGGUGCAGCCGCCGCAGACGGUGUUUGGGCAGCACGCGCUGUGCCUCAGCCUCCCGGCGGAAGCGGUGGAGGCGGUGGCGGCGGGGCUGCUGCUGGCACGUGUGUAUGUGUACGACUACGUGCUGCCGCCGGACCUGGCGCAGCGGUAUGACACUGUACGGCAGCUCAUUGACGGGUCGGUGGGCGGCUGGGGGGCGCCAGGGCAACAGGCACGAGCAGAUGUGGGCAGUGCAAGCGGCGGCGGCGGUGGUGGGUGGUGGCAUGCGGGCUUGGCGAUAUCACGGCGGGUGCUUGGACGACCCGCAGCGGGGCAACAGCUGCGGCAGCAGGCAUGGGGGCAGCCGCAGCCAGCACCAGCGCACGUGGCCCCGGCCGCCAACACGUCUGUGCAGCAGCUGAGCACGGUGGGCGGCAUGCGGUGGCUGCACGUGGCCAAGUCGCCCGACCACACAGUGCCGUUCCACGAAGAGGUGGGCGUGGGGGCUGGCCGGCACGCGGCAGCAGGGGAUGAGAGGGCGAGGGCGAGGGCGAGGGCGAGGGCGCGCGGUUAGGGAGGAGGCAGUGCCGAGGCGGCAAGCAGGCCCAUGCUGGUUCCGGGCCGCAGAAGGUCAUCAAUCCUUCAUAGUUUGGGCAUCAACCAAACCGUGCGCUUUGAUUGCCUGCCUUCAUCCCUGAUUCCUCACAUCGUGCACCGGUGCACGCGGCCACCUCGUCGUGCAGGUGUUGGAGCCGCUGCUGGGCGCGGCGGCCAUGGCCUGGGAGACGUGGCGUGUGGGCCCCAGCCUGCCCUCCCAGUGCCCCCCGGACACGCAGUACGGCAGCCUCAACGUGCGCCGGCUGGCGUUCCCGCCGCCGGGGGCCGCAGGCGCGGCAGCGAGCAAGGCAGCAGGGGCAGCAGGGGCAGCGGAGGCAGCAGGGGCAGCCGGGGCAGCCGGGGCAGCGGGGGCAGAGGCAGCUGAGGCGGCUCAGGUGGCGGCGGGUGCUUGGGUUGGCGAGGGGGUGGGGUGGGACUCAUUGAAGGACCACGGCAAGUGGGGCGUGAGCUUCACCAGCGUGGACAUGCGGCAGCGGGGGGUCAGCGGCCCAGGCGCUGGACAGGCGGUGCAGGGAGGGGAGGGCGUGGCGACACCCCGGGGCGGUGCUGCCGCCGCCGUGAUGCCCCAGCCAGGCGUGGCGUGCUUUGGAGACCUGAACCGCCAGCCCAGUCAGCGGUUCAGGGGCGGCGGGUAUGUGUGCUGCAGCGGCAGUAACAGCAGUGCAGCGGGCAGCGGCAGCAGCAGUAGCAGCAGGGGCGGUGGUGGGGCGGACCGCGAUGAGCAACAGGGAGGGGGUGCGGGCAGGCUGUGGGCGGCGAUGCGGGCGCUGGUGGCGGAGGUGGAGCCGUGUGCACCAGCGGCAGGGGCAUGGAGCAAGACGUGAUCGUGAGAGAGGCAGUGUGGAGAAUGCCUGCCAAUGCACGCUGGGUGUGAUAGGAAACCUUCCGUAGAUGGAGGCGCGGAAGGCAGCGGCUGGGUAUCUGACUAGGGUGCUGACAGGCCGUGUCAAAGUUGAGUUGAGAUAUAGGCACUAGAUUCGACGCCAGGCGGCUGGCAGAUGAAGCCGGCAAGUGCAUUCGAAGCCUUACACGCCGGUCCGUGUGCCCCGUGCGAUUCGCCUGCCACUCUGGCUUGCUCGUGCUCGUGCGGUUGCGCAGCCUAACCGCCGCUCACAACGUGCACACUCUAAUCUGAUCACAAUGUCCGCACCUGCCUGAAGAGGAUCAACAGGCAAUGCGUUGCUGUAAUUGCUCUUGCGGCUGUGCAGCCUGACCGCUAUUCGCAACAUGAAGCACUCGAGUCUGAUCGCGAUGUCUCCAGCUGCCUGAACAGGCCCCCACUGCCUGAGGCCUGCCUGCAGCCGCUCCUCGCAACAGCCGCAUCCCAUGCACGACCCCAUGGAUCAUGAAGUAGAUCACUUCCAAAUAAACGGCUAAAUGUCUUGGGCCAGGACAACCGGCAACGCGUGCCACCGCCAACAGUAUCGCCACGCGCACGCUGCGCCUAACCUCACUGUCGUACACACCGACACACGACACGCCUGAAACCACAUACGCAAGAUAGUCUUCUCUCUGAGCAUCCUCCACUAGCACCAUAGCCACCAACACGAACACCACAACCAACGCCACCAACCAGGGCGGGCGCGAACACCAAAACUCCCCUGCCGCGAACCAGCUUCCAGAAGCCCCACGCCACCGCCGCCUCAGCACUCACAGCACGCCGCUGCCCGCCACCACCACCUUCUGGAAGGGGCGGUAGAAGGCGCGCUCCGCCGUCACCGCGCGCUUGUCACCCAUGGCCUUGCCCGCCUGCGCGUUUCAGGUGGGAGUACUUUGGUGAUCUGGUGGACUCAUACACUUGUCAGCCUUGCACGCCCGCAGCCAAGCCAGGGUGUGGCGCGCUGGCCCUCACUCUAUCGCCAAACCGUAUCCCUGGAUCCUCGCCGCCCCUCCAUCGUUGGGCUAGCCAGUAGCCAUGCAGCAUUCCCCGCCGCCGCACCUCAUACCCCUGAGCCCCCCCCCCCAGCACACACACCCGCGCACACCUGGAAGUAGGGGUUGUCGUUGCGUGGGCGGUUGACGGGCAGCUUGGCGAUGCGCUCCAGCAGCUCGCCGCCCUCAACCACCCGGCCGAUGAUCAGGUUGGUGCCGUCCAGGUCGGGGCUGUGUUAAAGAGCACAAGGAAAACGUCGGGGCUGUGUGAUCGUGUGUGGGGUGGGUUACAUUCAUGAUGAUAUGAUGUGGGGGGGGGGGGCGGGGGGGGGUUGCAAGGAUGUUUGGAAAGCCAGUACAGGAUGCACUGGUGUAUGUGUGUGUGUAUAUGUAUGUGUGUGUGUGUGUGUGUGUGCCAUUCAUGCGAACAGGGGGGGUUUAGUCCCAAUCCCGAACAAAGCAAGAUCCAGAGGGAGGUUGUGGUUGUGAGGCGAUUGGUAGGUGAGGCGAGGGUGAGAAACCGGGGCCUUGAGUGGUGUUUGAGUGUGAGCGAGUGACGGGCAUGCAGGCUUGCACGCACGUGGAGCUUGUGGUGCUACUGAGUGGCCCGGCAGGCGGGCCCUGCGCCUGCGCCUGUGUGCUCUGGGGGCCCUAGGCCCUGCCCCCACCUGGGCGCGGUGGUGAUGGCGAACUGGGUGCCGUUGGGCGCCUCGCCCGCUUGCUCCUGAGGUGCGCGGCGGCGAGCGGGCGGGCAGAGGCAAGUAGGCGGAGAGACCAGGCCUCGUGCAACUCAGCAAACGUGUUACGGUGACUAUGUGCAGCAGUUUGACACCAGUUGUUGAUGGCGGGCUCCCACCCACCAGCACGGUGAUGAGUUUGCCGUCACGCGCCACCAGGCGCUCCUUCACCGGCCUGCAUGAUGCACACACGCGCACGGUGCGCAAGCUGACACGGAUGCAUGCCAUACUGUGUCAGUGCAGUUCGGUGUAUGGAGUAGGCGCAGUUCCUGUGCUUGUGACAAUCAGUGGUCAGUCAACCUCGCCCGCUUUUCCCAGGCCGCACACGAGCCUUACCGCUCCUCCUUUUCCCGGACGACGAUGGACACCAGCCCCGCCUGGUCGUGUUUCCGCGUCUGCUUGUCGAGCUCAGCCUGCGCACAUGUACAGCCAUGCGCGUUGGUGUUGUGUGUGGUUGCCGUGUCAUCUGCAGCCACACCUCUGGGGACCCGUGACCUGACUACCUACGACGACAAAGCCCAGCUCCUCAGCUUUCCAUCCUCCGUACCGCAAGGCCCACGGCUGAUCCCCAGGAGUCUACCUAGCACUUCGGUAGUCUUCUUAGCUCAGCACACACACACACACACACACACACACACACACACACACACACACACACACACACACACACACACACACACACACACGCCACGGCUCCCACCUCCAGCUCGUCAAUGGUGUCCACGCCGCUGAUGGGCGACACCUCGUUGGCCGUGUACGACAGGCUCUUCACGCCGUCAUUUCGGAUGUAGGUCUGCGGCCACGUGUAGCAAUACCAACAGCAAGGUGAUUGCAAGGCAGCAAGGUGAGACGCAGAGUCUGCCAUACGUUCCGGAAGGCCCAUGGCAGCGAUCACCGAAUGCGCCGCCCUUACCCAAACCCUUCUGCACACCCAUCUACACAAUCCUUCCACAUGCACAAGCCAUACGCGCUCUUGGACACAUCACAAACACGCACCGGCAGCACGCCAUUGAAUUUGGACAGGCGGUAGUCCACCCCUUGCCGCCCUGCCGCCAGGGAUGCAAAGCGCGAGGCGCCGGCGGGGGCGUCCGCAAGGAGCUCCACUGUGAUGCGGCCCGCGGGCUCGCCGUUGAUGGUCAGGUCGAAGAACACCUGCGGAAAGAGCAUAAGUGUGUGUGCAUAUGUAUGUGCGUGCGUGCGUGCGCGCAUAUGUGUGUGUGAGGCGGGGGGGGGGCGGGCGGGGGAGUUAUUUAUAUGAGAUAGGUCGUUCCCGUUCUUGCAGCAAUCUAAAGAGGUGUGGCGCCUACAGCAGAGAGCAGAGAGGGCGCGGGGUUCGUGCGGAUGCCAAGUUCGUGUGUCGAAGGAGUCAGCAGCGGCAGGCGGCGCGCGCGUGCGUAUGGGUGCUUUGAAACGUGCGACCUACCUUGCUGCCAACGCUGCCCACCACCUCCUCUGCCUGCACUGCCGCCGAGGGCAGCAGCAGGGCACUCGCUAGCAGCGCAGAUAUCACUCCGCGGCGGUCCAUGUUGGCGGUCGGCGGGGGCCGGGGGGCCUCCGGCCGGGGGCGAGCGGUACCUCCAGCAGCGGCGGCAGCGAAAACCGCAGCAACUCGGCGCCGGCUUGCGGGGGCCUGAGUCACCGCGCGAGGCGCUGCAAUGCCGUUCGCACUGCCUACAUGACGGCUAUAGGACUUGGUGUGCACGGCGUGCGCCAUCGCGACGAAGCGUGUGUGUGUUUUUGUGCAAGCGGGGUUGGCGAUGUGACUCGCGCCCGGCCGGAUGCGCUUGUUCGGACUGAUGGCGUGCAGCAAGGGGUUUGUAUUCUGUACAGUAACGUCACUUGGAGCGCAAAAUAGCAAAAGGCCAUGAGUUGGCGCCGAGAUCGAGCCCCUCCCCAUGCACUCAGAGCCGAAAAUGUGAACUGUGGCAGAAACGCAUGUUACCAACUGGCAGAUACUACACUCGCGUAUAGCUGUGAAUUGAUGAACCUGACAAACCACGGCAGCUGACGCCAAUCGUAUCCUGCAGCUCCGUUGCUUUUAUGGAGCAUUGAGUUGUGUAAAAUUCAGCUUAGUUAAUACAUAAAGUCUUUAAAAUGCUGCUCUGAGUAGGCCAGUCCAAAAGCCGAGGAGAUGGCUCCGACGUCUCACCUCCCAAAGCUACCGGGAGCUACUCUUGACGAUGGUGACCUAUCGUUAAAUCCCGCCAUUUACAUGUCGAAGGACACUCGACGGGUGCAAAAAUUGGCGCCCGUGGUCACGGUGAGCGCUGGCGAACGGUGUUAUGCACAAAUACUCGGAGGUGGUUGCUGUGUGAUACGAAGUGAGGUCGCUGGACUGCCUGGGGAACAACCCACCGUCACUGGGGUGAGGCCAGCCACCCAGCACGGUCAUGGCAGCGCACGCAGCCGGCUCAGUCGCCCCCAAAUUGCGGCGGCCCUCUAUGACAGCUCCAGGUCCAGCUGCUGCUACUGCGACCGCUGCUUCUUUCUCAAGUCAAGUGCCCCUCGCCGCGGCCAUGCCACUAACAGGUUGACGAGUUGCGCAAGACGGGGGUGCUGGGCGCGCGCCACACCAUCACGUCCAGCCUGGCUUACCCCGGCCUGACCGCCAAGUCCCUUUGGGAGCCCCCAGACGCCGGAGCGGGCUCUGGUGGGGAUGCGGACGACAGCGCCAGUGACUCGCCCUCCGCAGCCAGCGGUGCUGCGCGCGGCAGCCCGGCCGCCGCCAAGGGGCCGGUGCGCAUGGCCUCACCCGACCAGGUGGGACGGGGGCAGCAGCAGUGCACUGGUAUUGGCGGUGAUGGUAAUCUAGGUAUCGGGGAGAGGAGUAGGGGGCUGGCCACGACGGUGGUGGAGGGCGGGCUACCUGCGGUGGUCAUUCGGGUACCGUGCACGGCAGGGCAGGCGGGGCUGCUAGCGACGCACCGGGCUCGGCACUCCGCUCUUAGCACAAAUGAGAAGCGAGCAGAUGACCCUAGCCACCUGGGAACCAAGAACGCGUGUACUUUACAAUUUAUACAGAUUGUGUAGGGCCUGACGAACGGGCCCGUUGCCCGCAAGAACCGGCGACUGACGUCAUUCCGUACUCUAACGAGUCAUGCCUAUAUCCCACCAACCAGUGCUCCCAUUUAUGUUUGUUAACCCAGUACGAUGCCACUGCGGCGGCUCGAAGCACGCUGAUUCACGAGCGGCCCAAUGUGGUUGAGCGCAUGGAGAAGGGCGUGGCGGUGUGCGGCGUGCUGCGGGACAACCGCCACUACCGCCUCAACUCACUGGGUGGGUGCAGGCAGGGCGGUGUGAUGGGUGGGUGGGUGGAGCCCGUGCAGGGGUUGCAGGGUGGGAGACAGCGUGGAGUCGGGCGCGCUGUGCGCAGAAGGUUUGCGGCAGGACACAGGCGCGGUCAGCAGCUGGGGACGCCGGCAAUGUGGCGCUGGAGGACGGGCACGGAGGAGGGCAGACGGAGGAGCUCAUGCCUCAUGGGGUGCUCGGCAGCGCUGAGGGGCCUCAGAGCUGUGCACCGGGCUGCCGCCUUGGGUGUGGCAACCCGGACGGGCGGCGGACUCGAGGUCCUGGCGCACGCACUGACACCGCCGCCCACCUGGCGGUUCUUCCAGGUGUGUUCCACGCCGGCGUCAACGACGUGCGCACGCGCUCCAUGCACCGAGUGGAGCUGCACAAGCACCUGUCCAGCACCAACCUGCGCGCGCCGCAGGGAGACAAGGAGGUGAGGCGGUGAGGGCUCGGGCGAUGCGGUGAGGUGGCGGUGGACGCUGGAAGUUUUUGGCGACUCGGGCUGAGGUCCGAGGGCAGUCGCAUCGGGGACCUCGGUUGUGCCGUUAUGACACGCCACCGUCGUACAAACAGUCAACCAUGCUCAUACAACCACACUCGUGUUCUUGCCUUCACGCAAAUUUGUUCUCGGUGCUUGUGUGACACGCUCGUUCUGCAGGUUCGCAGCGCGGUGCAGCAGGACAAUGUGGGCACUCGGCUGGAGAAGAUGUACAACCGCGUGCUCAAGUCGCAGUACCUCACAGACGACCCAGGGUCAGUCACAUGGGGCGUGCAAGCCGGCAGCGGCGGUGGCGCCGGCGGCGGGCGCGGCGGCGCGGGCGGCCUGUCUCAAGUGGCGUCGGGCACGGCGCCGCCUGGGCUCAACGGAAGCCCUAGUGGGCCUGUGGGCAAUGGUGCGGGGGGCGGCGGCUCGCCGGGCGGCCUGCGGAAGGUGUUAGCCGCCGGCGGCACCUCGCAGCGGCGCCUUGGCGGCCCGGGAGGAAUGUCCAUAAGCAUACACGACGACUCCAAGGCGGGCCCGGGGCCCGGCUCUGAAGUAUUGUGAGUCGGGCUUCGUUGUGUUAAAGAGCACAAGGAAAACGUUGCGCAAAGACAGUGUAUGCUUCGUUGUGUGUGUGUGUGUGUGUGUGGCAUUUUGGGUGGGUAUUCUUGCGGUCGGGUGGGUGGAUGAGCCGGGUGCCGAUUUGUGGUUUUGAGGGCUGCUGGCACGGCGUUGUUCCAGGCUUUCGGGACUGUGGGAGGAAAGUGCCGUUGACAUGGAGCUUACGGAUGCGGCAUCACACAGCAACCCUGCACCCUCUCACAGGCGCGGCAAAGCGCAGGGCAGCGUCCUGCUGACGCCCAGCCACGCAACGGCGCGGAGUGGCGGCGGCGGCACCAUGAACAGCCCCACACACGCCGCCCGCAGCGGCGGCGGCGCGGGUAUGCCGCAGUCACCAUCCAUGCUAGUACGGCACGGCAGCCCUGGGCCGGGUGGUGCCGGCAGUCCGGGGCCGGGGCUGGGCAGCUCGCAGCAGCUGCCGAAUCCAUUCGCUGGGGGGCCCGGCGCGGGCAACACGACCUCGCCCAACGCGCAACAGCAGCGCGACCUGGGCGGCACAAGCAAGGGCACAGGUGCGGCGGCGGGAAUUCAGGUCCGGGAGGGGGGCGAUAGCCGUCUAUGGGCAACGGUGUGGGUAGUGCUCCGAGUCAAGACCUGGAAACAUGGCCCAGGCCUCAGAGGGUGGCGCAGUGUGAAAAGCUGCGGCUGGUCAGUCGGUGGCUCCCUUCCGGUUCUGGCACUGGGUUUAUUUGGGAUUGGGACAGAGGGCACAGUACCCACCCAUUCCACCGUGUCUCUUCUCUUGAAGCACACGCCUGUCGUCUUUCCCUCUGCUGUGUGUUGCUCGCAGCCCGCUCGGCGGACUACUGGGUGAAGGUGACGCUGCCGCCCGAGGUGAUCGAGGCGCAGCUGCGACACCUGGCAGCCACCACCGAGGCCAACCUGAGGGCAUACCAUGCCAGGGUGGCGGCGGCGCAGGUGGGAGGGGGCGGGGGCGGGGUCUCGGUUGCCCGGUCUCGGCUGUCGUGUACAGACGCUGCUCCACUUGUAGCGUUGUGCACAUCUCGUGCUUUCCUUACACACACACACACAUAAACACGCAAGCGCUCUUUAACACACAGGACGAGCUGCUGCACAGCAGUGGCCUGGGGCCGGAGACGCUGGGCCUGAACCCGGAGCAGGUGGAGCAGUCGCUCAAGGUCAAACUGGGUCAGAUACAGGAGGACACGUGAGUGGGGUGUGGCGCCUGCCGCUACAGCCGUGCGGUUGCGGGGACGGGAGCGCGGGGGUGGGGGGUGGCAUACGGUAGUCACGUCCGGUAGUGGCUGCAGCCUUCCACCCCUCAAGCACACUAUUUACAACCACUCGCCAAUUACUCGUACAUGCCGCCACACAACCGCUGGCGAACCCAAUGCUCGCAGGACCGCCAACGAUUUCAACUACUCCUCACUCAGCCGGGAGGCGGUGCUGGCCUCAAGGCUCGGCGCCGCCUCGAAGCAGCUGCUCACAGCCACCAGCUUACCGCAGUUCAUCCGGGCCGCGCUGGAGCACGUCACGCAGCACAGCUCAGAGCUGCAGCAGCUGGCGGAACCCGACCGAGCCAAGGCAGAGCAUGGGUGCGUGCGGCACUGCGGCUGCGCCGGCCAGGGCUAUGUUGUUUUUGUAGUUGUUGUAGUUGUUGUACAACGGGGGCAAAGCAAAGCUGCCGGGUUCGAGGUCAAGGGGAUGGAUCGGCCACUGUGCUAGCGAACAGAGUGCGCAGGCAGCGCACCGCCGUGUGUAAGGAAAGCAGCUUCCUUCCACCCUUCCUCCUUCCCUCACAGGAACACGCACCGCCGCAAGCGGCUUGGCAAGGCGGCGCCGGUCGGGCUGGGGGCAGGCAAUGGCGACGGAAGCGCACCGGGUGUUGGCGCCGCCGCCGCCGCCGCCGCUGGCGACAGCGACGGCGAAGGCGGCAGCAUGCGGCGCAGCAGCGGCUCCGAGCUCUGGCCCGAGUACAGCUCGGUACGACACCGUGCGGCGGAGUUCGGAUGGACGGCACCCGAGCACCGAGCCUCCAUGGCCUUGGGCAUCGACUCGCCCACCCGUGCGUCUGAGGCCGGGGGGCCGGGCGCCAGCACCGCCGGCGGGGAAGAGGGCGGCGAGGGCGGGGCAGGGGAGCGCUGGCGGCCGCCGCCGCCGGCCCGUGUGCCGGCUGGGUCGCCGCCUCCGACGGCGCCUGGCGAGCGCAGGAUGGGCCGCACCAUCACCAUCAUGCGCCGGCCGGACGCCAUGAUCACGGAGGACUGGAUGGAGGAGUUCCGCGACCAGCUGCUCGGUGAGGGCGCUGGGACUGUGUGAGGGCCUGGCUGUUGACGGCCACGCCAACGCAUGUGCACAUACAGUGUGCGAGCACUUGCUAUCAGCCCUUAUCUCCUGCCCUACAGCACCGUGGCUGCGCCGCUCCUCCGGCUUCGCCGCCGCAUCCUGCUUACCGUGACACAUCUCCCGCCGCAGCGGCUUUCAACCUCCUUGCCUUUUGCAUACGCGUGCCCGCAGAAAUUGAGAGCAGCCCCGUGGCGCCGCACAGCCCGCCCGACGGCAUCCAGCCGCUGCCGCCGCUGGGCGCAGGCGACAUGGACGCGGGCGCCUAUGUGCGCUCGCGGCUGGAGCGGCUGUGGGGCGUGCUGGGCAUGCCGCCGCACACGCGGCUGGACAUGGUGCUGUUCUUCACUAGCCGUGACCGCGCACUCACCUUUGCAGGCAGCCUGGAGCUGUGGGAGGCGGCCGCGGCGGCGGUGCUGUCGCGCGAGUCGCAGGUAGGGUGCGGCGCGCGGGCAUAUGAAAGCAGUGGGGAUGUGGCGUGUGUGCAUGACUGGAGGGCUGCAGGGGUAUCGGCUUGGUGGGCUGUGUUCUACACGUUCGCUUAGAGCAGUACAUGUUUCCUGGCAUGGCGCGACGUCCUUCCUCGACAUCGCCUCCUUGACACACCUUCUUGUUGUGUUGCAGGUGGAGGCGCUGGUUUCGGUUCAGCACGAGAUCGAGUCCAACAACGCGGACCGCCUCAGCCUGGGCGCCCUGUCCGCGCUGUGCGUGCGUGUGCUGCAGCAGACGCGGUGGGUGGCGGCGCUGAGCGAGCGGUUGCGGCAGGACAACGGCUGGGAGCUGACCUUCAACGGGCAGCCGUACCCGGGCCCAGAUGCCAUCAGCUCCACACACCUUGUGGCAUUCAUGGAGAUGUUGAGGCAGGCCACGGAGGUCACGGGGCUGCGGCCUUGAGCUGCGAGAGCGGCCCGGUGUGGCGGUGCUUGGUGGUGGUGGUGGUGGGGGGGCUACGCAGGUGUGGGGAGCACGGACGGGGAGCUAUGGGCGCUUCGCAGUAUUGGUGAGGGGAUUGAAUUUGCAUGUGCAAGUUUGUUGUUUUUGUGGUGUGUGUGGGGGGGGGGGGCAAGUUCGACGGCGAAUACGGGCGGGCAGCGGCAGGGGUAGCGGCAAGGUGGUGCAGGCUGUAGGAGGAAGCGGGGGUAAGUGGCAGACUGGCAGUGCUGGGCUCACAUGCAUUCUUGUAAGCUCGUAAUUGUGGGUUGAACAGCCGUUGCACUGCGUUACACUCCGCGCACUCGCAUCAUUGGUGUAAUAUGUUGUGUCAGCAAGGCGUCGGGCGGGUAAGGCGGGUAAGGCGCAGGCAGGGGCAGCACCGUAAAAUGACCACAGACCGCACAGACGGAGGCCGCAGUGAAUCAAUGAUGCUGGUGGAGUGGUGGGCUGAUUCUUGAAGGGGCGAUGCGCACGGAGAGCGGCCAAGGAUGCGCUGCUGGCUGAAGCCAGGCUGGCGUCAGCACGGGGCUCAGGCUGACAACACUUCCGUUAUAAAGCGGGAGUGAGGACGGGGAUGUCCACACAAGUCCACACAGUGUUGCAGCCGCUGAGUUCCUGCAUGCCCAGACAGUGAAGUCUUCGGGUGCUACGUGUCUGGGCCGCCUGGCGUUGAUAGCCGUCAGGCUGCGGGGGCUUGGAUGCUUCAGGAGAGGGUGAGCGGCCUGCAGCGCGCUGAGCGAUGCCGACAAGGCACACCGUCGACCAAAAGCAGGUUCUACCAUCGCCGCAUCGAGCACGAUGAAGCUCCUCUGUGCACAUCACUUAUAGCCACGGGCCCCUGGGCUUCACUCACAACACGGCCUUUCGAGUUCGGGACCCCGGCUUGCGCCCAUCUUGCUCGCACUUUGAUCCUCAAAGACCGCUUGCCGCGCGGCACUUCGCAGAAUCCUGGCCUCAGGCCCAAUACUUAAACUCGUUUUAGCAAGCUCCAGGCCCUCGCGGUGCUUCAAGGCAAGAGUCGUGCGGAGUUCCGAUUAUUGCUGGCCCUUGGCCCUGGCUUCCUCCACCUGCAAUCGACUGAGCUGGACUACCCAAUUUGUGCGACAGGGAGGCCGCGUCGUGCCGGAACGGCGAAAUGGGCUUGGCCUGGGCUUUGGACCCGGCCGUCCUCGGCCAGGUCUUCGCUGCGAUCCUGCCUGUGUGGCUUCUUGGCGCUCUGACUGGCUAUCUGGUGCGUUAUCUGGGCCCCGGGGAAUGGCUGCCCGUGCGCUGGCGACGGACCGAGCCAUCAACUCUCACGCCUUGACUUUCGCCGCGCAGAUUCCCCGGCCUGCGCCGGGCAAGACUCCAAGCGCUACUAGCUGGGCCCUCUUUCUGUCGGGAACGGGCUUCCGUCGAUGGGCCAUCGUCUACCACCUCUGUAUCAUUGUCCGGGUGCGUAUUCGGCGCGAGUCCCGGCUUCUAUGACCGCUCCCGAGUGCAGGUGACCGCCCAUUAUAGUUCUUCUAACAUACGCGACCAUAAUUGUGCUGCGCAGGACUUCUGGCGGACCUACUGCGCGCCGGGGACGUUCCGCGCCUUCUGCAAAGCCGUGGUCAGCUGGGCGAGCGGCAAAGGCUUUAACUUCGAGUUCCCAGCGGUCGCUGCGGAUGGCAGCUCCGUUGCUGAGGUUGGCACGAAGAGCGAGCGCGACGCUGACAACUGGUAAGUCGACCAGUCGCGACUGUGCCACUAUUCGGAGCAGGUUGGUUCGCACGCGGCGCGCGGCUCAGCGCUGUGCCCCACGAGCAUAAUCAAGCGACUCAUCCUGCAUACUUGCACUGUCGCCGUGCAGGUAUGUCACGCAGAAGGACCUGGCCUUCUUUCAGUACCACAUGGAGCAGGGCGGUGUCAGCGAGGGCGCCUCGCCCUGGGAGGUGCUGAUGGAGAAGGAGGUGCCCAACCUGAUCAAAUACGUCGCUUACCGCCGCACCCUCAAGGUGGGUCGCUGGGGCUGCGCGUCGGAGACUGGGCUCCCGCGCUUUUUCCCUCGUGUGCUGGUUCCACGCCAGCUUCCUUUCGACCACCAGCUCAGUAGAGCUCAGCGCCUUUCAUCCUGAUGUUCGUGUCCUUUCCAUCUCCCUUUCGGCCCUGCAGAGCGGCAAGACGGAGUACAAAAGUGUUACCUACAGCCCGGACGCCACCGCCCAGGAGUUCAUGGACCUGUACUUUGACGACGACUUCCGCCCCAAAUGGGUGAGUACAACUCGUCUCCCCCGCCCCGUCCGGCUGCGCCCUGCCAACGCUCUGUCGACUGGUUUUGCUCACAGCAGCGUCCAGAAACUCGCUUCGAUUGCGGUGCGCUUUGCUGACUGGUGGUCGCGUUUCCCUGAAACCUUCUUGCUCGCAGGAUACCAUGAUCAUCCACCACGAGGUGCUGGAGCACGGCGACUUUGCGCAGCGCCAGCAGGUGGUGCGCUGGACGCGCCGCUUCCCCUUCAAGUUCCUGUCGGACCGCGAGUACACCAUCGCGCGCCGUCUGUUUAAGACGGACGACGCCUUGUACGGCCUGACCAAGGUGCGUUUGCGCAAUUUGUGAUAGGUGGCGGCAGCAACGUAGCGCACGUCAUCGCUCGUUUGUGGUGCUGUAAUGUGCUGUACUGACGUCAAGCGCUGGCCCAUGAUGGUGCCUCCGUGUCUGAAGCGUUUAUGUGUGUCUCUGCUCUCUUGCAGGUCAUCGACCACCCCAGCUCGCAGCGCGACACCCAGGUGGUGAAGAUGGACGUCUUCUACAGCAUGUGGCGCUCUCGCACUGUGGAGUGCCCCUGGGGCAGCGGCAAGGCCGCCUGCGAGACGGUGCUGCUGCACCACGAGCAGUUUAAGAUCAUGGAGAACCUGGCGCGCUUCGCCGUGCGCCACGGCAUGUGGGGCUUCGUGCGCAACCUGGCGGAACGCACGCCCGAGUUCACGGCCGCGCGCCGCGGCCGUGGCGUGGGCCCUAACGACGUGGACCCCAUGGCGUACGGCCACAACGGAGCGCCCAUCCCGCCCGGCAGCAGCAGCGGCAGCACCGGCGGCGCCAACGGCACCGGCGGCAUGCAGAUGUCGCAGAGCUCGCUGUCGCUGUGCUCCAUGGACAGCAGCAGCGUAGGCGGCAGCGGCGGCUACGGCAUGGGCGGCGGCGCCGGCCACGGCGGUGCCCUGUCGCUGAGCCGUGCUGCCAGUGAGGGCCUACCGGGCCGGCCCAAGCCGGUGCCGGGCCGCGUGAAGGGCUUUUUGGCCAUGGCUGUGGCGGGCAUGGUGGCGGUGGCGGUCAAGCGCAGCAGCUCGGUGCCCAGCGGCCUGGAGAACGUCAAGGCGCUCAAGAGCAAGCGCCGCAACCUGCGCCAGUCGAACAGCAUGCUGUUUUAAGUGCGCCGCUGCUGAGAGCGAGACCGAAGACAAGUGGUGGCGACGCGAGUGAUUGCGCCGCGGCGAUGAACACACGGAGGGAGCUGCGACGGCAAUGGCUGCAGCGCCGCACCGCUGCUCACAAAAAUAUACGGGUAUCGCAGAUCGAUGUGGCUUCGGCCAAUGUCUCUAUAGUCUUCUUAUUGCGACUCUAUGGGUGCGCAUAAGAAACAGGAUGUGAUUUGCAUUAGGGUAAGCAGUAUUCGUCUUCGAUGUCUCGGUGACUUUGGGUAGCGUCGUGUGAUUGAUAGAUCGUUCAACCAUGUAGGGUUGGAUCGAAUGCAGGGUAUCUGUCAGCAGGCAUCUAUAGUGCUGGUACGGAUCACUUACUUAAUGGCGCGUGUGCUCUGCAUACGCGUACACCCUUACCCAUCACGGAUCCGAUCGGAUCGUCACAAGCACAAGGGGCGCCCGCAUGACCUCGGUACUCCGGCAUGCGCUUCAGGUGGCCCCUUGCAUUCCCGACACGUUCCUAGAUCCUUCUCCCUUUCAUGCCUAGUUAUGCCUUGUGCGGGCCCAAACCGCACAAGCUGUUUCCUGACUUUAAACCCUAAAUGCGGACGGUGUGCAAAGCACCAUUUCGUUUCGUGGAUGGGGCUGUGCUGCUGUUGGAACUGAGCGUGCUAAUGGCGCCCGUGUCGAAUCGCAACUUCCAAACAAGUUGUGAUUGCGCGGGGUUUUGGGUUCACAAUGGAUUGUUGCGUAUGUGGUAUGUGAUGCAGAGUGCGAGCGGAUGGUGAUUGCGCUGGGGUGGAUCCGGCAUGCGGAAGGCGUAGGACUCAAGUGGCGCAGGUGAACAGCUUUCGAGUUUGCCCCGGAAAGUUGGGGUGUUGCCUCCAGCAAUUCGGGGGCCGGUGGAGUAUGGGGCACAUACAGGGUGAGACAUUUGGUUGGCAACGGAGGAGAAAAGCGUGUUGCGCAUUGCAUGAGUUGGUCGCGACGAGGGGAGUAUCGUGGGGGAGUACCCACGAGGAGUACCGGAGAAGAG